rnacentral:pre_miRNA from 10 species
CCUGGUCUUCUUCAGUGUCACACUCCGCGUAUUUGACAAGCUGAAUUGGACACUCCAUGUGGUAGAGUGUCAGUUUGUCAAAUACCCCAAGUGCGGCAUAUGUCUAACAG